AUUGCACGCUGGCGGCAGGCCUAACACAUGCACGUCGAGCGGAGCGGCGGACGGGGGAGUAAUGCCUUGGAAUCUGACUGGUAGUGGGGGAUAACGUCCGGAAACGGGCCCUAAUACCGCAUACUAUCAGAUGAGCCUAGGUAGGAUUAGCUAGUUGGUGGGGUAAAGGCCUCCCAAGGCAACGAUCCGUAACUGGUCUGAGAGGAUGAUCAGUCAAACUGGAACUGAGAUACGGUCCAGACUCCUACGGGAGGCAGCAGUGGGGAAUAUUGGACAAUGGGCGAAAGCCUGAUCAAGCCAUGCCGCGUGUGUGAAGAAGGACGUCGGAUUGUAAAGCACUUUAAGUUGGGAGGCGUUACCAACAGAAUAAGUAUCGGCCAACUUCGUGUCAGCAGCCGCGGUAAUAC
rnacentral:rRNA from 1 species